CAGCCGCCGCGGUAAUACAGAGGGUGCGAGCGUUAAUCGGAUUUACUGGGCGUAAAGCGUGCGUAGGCGGCUUCUUAAGUCGGAUGUGAAAUCCCUGAGCUUAACUUAGGAAUUGCAUUCGAUACUGGGAAGCUAGAGUAUGGGAGAGGAUGGUAGAAUUCCAGGUGUAGCGGUGAAAUGCGUAGAGAUCUGGAGGAAUACCGAUGGCGAAGGCAGCCAUCUGGCCUAAUACUGACGCUGAGGUACGAAAGCAUGGGGAGCAAACAGGAUUAGAGAUCCCCGUAGUCCCUGUCUCUUAUAA
rnacentral:rRNA from 1 species